GUCGACAAUCAUCUUCCUAUUACCAUGCAUGCAGUAAAUUAUCUUUGUAUUAAACUAUUAGUUUAAUAAUUUUAAUUAUUAAAUAAAAUUUAAUAAUUUUAAUAAUUUUAAAAUAUACCGGGUGGGGCAAAAAAAAGUACGAUAGUUUGACUUACUAUAACUUAAAAAGUAAAAGAGCUAUUACACUUAAAUACGUCACCGUAUAUUCCACGAUGUUUAACUUACAUUUUGAUAUAUGUCUUGUACCUUUUCAUGCAAUAUUGACUGAGAUAACUGUGUUUAAACUUAAACAAACAUUUUUGGAAACGCCUAGAAUUAGCUGAAAAGGUCCUAUUAAAACCAAUUGAAUAACCUUUAUACCUGCAUUUUCUUGCUAUUAUUGUUUCAAUUAGUGGGUUGGUUUGACGAGGUCACUUGUUCUGGGUCCACACUUUGUUGAAAGAAAUCUCGACACGAUUCAAAUAACUCCGGUUCUGAAGCGCAAUUUGAAAGAGCCACGUGAAGCGAUUGUUAUACAGCAUGCCGCAACUUGAAACAGCAAGUGAUCCAAAAUUCUUUCGAUUGUAUGAUUUCACGGGCAAGACGUUGCAUUCGUGCUGGGGACAUGCAUUUACUGAUGAAUAUAGACGAUUGUUUUUAACCACAAGCGCGAACGUACUGACAAUAAAGUAUAAUGCGUCUUAACACAAAUUAUUGCAUGUUGUAUGUAUUAAUAUUUAACAA
rnacentral:lncRNA from 1 species